AAUGCAUUCUUCGCUACACUCAGAAUCUAAAAUUAAAUAUGGGAAAAAAUCGCUUCUUUAGUAUCAAUGGGUUUUUGAGCAUUAUACCCAGAUGAAUAUCUCGUAUCAGAUUAAAAACUUCAUUGGAUUGAUUACGGUUUAAUCGGAAGUAAUUAAGCAGGUAUGAGACGCGUCACGCGCGUUGUCCUUGCGUUUCGAAAAACCCGUCGCCUAACGUACGAAUGCAUGUGAAAUUGUUAAUUUAAGUAUUCGGCGUAUAAUAUGCACGCGUAAGAUACGUAAGGAACGGGCUUGAAAAAGUACGAUAUAGUGAUUUAAAGUCUAAAAAUCCAUACUUCGUUGGAAAUAAUAAAAAAAUAAGGUUCGGUAAAAAAAACGUCCUAGGAUAAUGAAAACGGGUGCAGCCUCCGUUAAAGGUAAUUUAAUGUAUAUCUGCAAGCCAUUACUAAACCAAAAACGUUUACGAGUGCAGU